GAUGAACGCUGGCGGCGUGCCUAAUACAUGCAAGUCGAGCGAACGGACGAGAAGCUUGCUUCUCUGAUGUUAGCGGCGGACGGGUGAGUCACACGUGGAUAACCUACCUAUAAGACUGGGAUAACUUCGGGAAACCGUAGCUAAUCCCGGAUAAUAUUUUGAACCGCAUGGUUCAAAAGUGAAAGACGGUCUUGCUGUCACUUAUAGAUGGAUCCGCGCUGCAUUAGCUAGUUGGUAAGGUAACGGCUAACCAAGGCAACGAUGCAUAGCCGACCUGAGAGGGUGAUCGGACACACUGGGACUGAGACACGGCCCAGACUCCUACGGGAGGCAGCAGUUGAGAAUCUUCCGCAAUGGGCGGAAGCCUGACGGAGCGACGCCGCGUGGGUGAUGAAGGCCGUCGGAUCGUAAAACUCUUUUAUUAGUGAAGAACAUAUGUGUAAGUAACUGUGCACAUCUUGACGGUACCUAAUCAGAAAGCCACGGCUAACUACGUG
rnacentral:rRNA from 1 species